UUUUUUAACUGUGCGUCAGAGAAAAAAAAACUGGAACCGAUUUGAGUACACGUAACCAUUAAGUACACCAUUCCAACUCUAUUGGUUCAUUCAAAUAAAUAUUGUACAAAAUGUAGUACAAUUUAGUAUACAUAAGUACAAAUUUCUCAAACUACCUACAUUCUUCAGUCCUAGAAUGGACUGAAUAGUCCUAGAAUGGACAAUAGGAUCAGCGCUGGCAGAGCAGAUUGACUGCUCCACAUUCUGCACGGAUAACGAGGAUGCCCCCACCCGAAUAAGAGGAAAGUGUCACAGUUCGCCAGACUUAACCAUAGUGUCACCCGGUCUGAUAAAUGACGUGACUUGGCAACCCGUCAUUUCUCUUGGCUCAGACCAUCUCCCGAUAAUCGUCUCCAUAAGCAGGUCGCCCGACUUCAUAACAUCUGAACGCCGCACGUUCCUUAACCAUGGGAAAGCUCACUGGCCAGAGUUCAGAGAAUUCACCAACCCCGCUUCAGAGAACUGCCCAACCCUUCUGAUGUUCGGGUAGCAGAAAGGAUUUUCCGAAACAUCAUUAAAGCUGCAGCCGCUCGCUAUAUACCUGAUGGUCGAAUACCCGAGAUAAGACCAAACUUCCCAGCAGAGGCAGCGGGAUUAGCAAACGAGCGUGAUGAUCUCCGUCGUACCAACCCUACUGAUCCUAGAAUCAGUGAUUUGACAGUGGAAGUCAACCGGUUGGUACAGGAGCAUAAGAGGAAAAAGUGGCUAGACCAUCUGAAGUGCUGCAACAUUGGAACCGAUAUAAGUAAGCUGUGGGUAACGGUUAAGUCGCUCUCGAACCCUCGAAAAAAGGAUGAUAGGAACUCAGUCACUUUAAACGACGUAACGGUGACUGAUCCGAAGAGGUGCGCGGAAUAUUUUAAUCGACAAUUUGUCGAGCACCCCGAGAGCGAUAGGGCGAAGCGAAGAGUAUUACGUCGUAUCAGAUCUCUUCCCGCCGAGGAGGAACCACCACAGUUUACGAUGGGUGAUGUUGCAAAUGUCAUCCGUAACGCUAAGUCAUCCAAAGCGUUGGGCCCAGACGGAAUCUCAAUGGUAAUGUUGAAGCAGCUGGAUACGCCGGGAGUCGAGUACUUAACUAAAGUUCUCCAUUUGUCGAUAGCCACCCACAUAGUGCCCGAAACCUGGAAAAUGGGCCGGGUGGUCCCUUUACUGAAGCCAGGCAAGGAUGCCAGUAAAGGCGAAUCGUACAGGCCGAUUUCGCUUUUGUCGCCAGUAGCAAACACUCUUGAGGCUUUACUCCUCCCCAGCAUUAGAGAAAGCUAUACAGUUGCCAACCACCAGCACGGAUUUCGUCCACAACACAGUACCACAACAGCAUUACACGCCAUUUCCACACAUAUUAGUUGAGGACUGAACCAGAACAGGCCGUGUGACAGAACAGUGUUGGUAGCCCUUGACCUAUCAAAGGCAUUUGAUACGGUCAAUCAUGCCACACUGUUCGAGGACGUGCAGAGAACUACCCUCCGGCCAAGUUUGAAACGUUGGAUAAUCAACUAUAUGUGUGGACGCCAGUCGUACGUGGAAUUCCGGAACAAGAAGUCCAAAGCCCGUAGAGUGAAACAGGGAGUUCCCCAAUGUGGGGUGAUAUCUCCGGAACUGUUUAACAUCUACCUUUCCGGAAUUCUUCGCCCUCCAGACGGCAUUGAGAUCGUAACGUAUGCGGAUGAUUGUACGAUCAUGGCGUCGGGUCCAGUUGUCGAUGACAUAUGCGAAAGGUUGAACCCCUAUCUCACAGAGCUUGCCGCAUACUUCCACGCGAGGAAUAUGAAAAUAUCCGCCACGAAAUCAACGGCCACACUCUUCACCACAUGGUCUGCGGAGAUGAGAACACAGCUGAAUGUUCAGGUCGAGGGGAAUCUAAUACCGACCACGAACUACCCCAAGAUUCUUGGGGUCACGUUCGACAGCAUGUUCAAGUCGUCCGCGCAAGCCACAGC